AGGCUGGAACCGUGCGGCGUCUCCCGUCCCUCCCCUCAGUCCCGCUUGGCAGCCGCGGCGGCAGCAGUAGGAGCAGGAGCGGUACCCGGGGUAGCGGUGCCGCCGCCGUCUCUUCUUCCUCUUCAUUCUCUUCACACACCCCCUCACCCCCUUCUCCCGGGGCACGAUGCAGUUUAUGUUGCUUUUUAGUCGCCAGGGAAAACUGAGGCUCCAGAAGUGGUAUGUCCCAUUAUCUGACAAAGAAAAGAAGAAAAUCACAAGGGAACUUGUUCAAACAGUAUUAGCCCGCAAACCGAAAAUGUGCAGCUUCCUGGAAUGGAGAGACCUGAAGAUUGUCUACAAAAGAUAUGCAAGCCUGUAUUUCUGCUGUGCUAUUGAAGAUCAGGACAAUGAACUUAUAACUCUGGAAAUAAUUCAUCGCUAUGUAGAACUUCUUGACAAGUAUUUUGGCAGUGUAUGUGAACUUGAUAUCAUCUUCAAUUUCGAAAAAGCCUAUUUCAUUCUGGAUGAGUUCCUUUUAGGAGGGGAAGUUCAGGAGACUUCCAAGAAAAAUGUUCUCAAAGCCAUUGAACAGGCAGACCUUUUACAGGAGAGCCAGAAUGAAGACUGGGGAGGUUUGUCUGAGGAUAUCUUAUGAUUAAGAGCAAUCUAAGGCAUUAGCCCUUUUGACCCCCAUCUAAAUGAUUGGAAGCAGAGACCCCACGUAGUGUACUUGAAGAAAUUGGAUUGACAUAAAUCUUCACUUCAGCUGAUGACAUCUCAGUGUUUCAUACUGUAAAUGUUCACUGCCUUCAUUGUAAUGUUUAGCUAAUGGUGUAGGAUGCUGUUUGUCAGUAUUACUGUUUUGCUAAGCUGCUUCAUUCAGGCCUACAAGAAAAAUACUCCUUUGAAAGAGAACAAGAAGCUAAAGUCUUAAGAAUCACAAAUGAAAGCGAAUUAGAUUUAAAUUGACUCACUGUCUCCCUUCAUUGCAUUUAUAGGAAGAUUGCAUUUGACUUCAAUAAGUGUACUGUUUUUUAUAAGCAAACUUGACUUCAGGAAAUAAGUGUAUCAUUAUGACAUAGCAUAUCUAUAUGAGAAGAAACUACAUGAACAACUCCAAAUAUGAAAUGUUGCAGUGUAGAAAUUGUGUUUAUGCAACCAAAGACCUUUGUUUGUCUACAUUUUAGUCACCACUUGUGAUAAUUCUGCUUAUUUCAGUUGAUGCAUAGAGAUUGGAAAUACCUGUUUACUACUGAAUUUGUCAUUAUACCAAAGAAUCCUGUUAGGAUCUGCAUAUCAAACUGGUAAAAACUGUUAAGGUGAUACCUGCAAGAAAACUGCAAACUGAUCAAAUUCACUGGAAAUGAAGGUGUAUUUAAGUGUAGCAACCUUGAGCAAAACUGUGCAAGUUACUAAGUUACUGUACUAAAAAGGGAAUGCAAGCAGUAAAAAAAAUUCUGAAUAAGAAAACUGUAGAUCUGAUAUUGGUUUGCUCUGAAUAUAAACACAAGAAAGGAGGUAGGCUUUCUGACUGUAUAGAGGUGCAUAAUGAAAAUUGGAUGCUGUUUAAGACAGGAAAGAAGGAGCUUUACAAAAGGGAUUUUUUUUUAUUUUCUCAACAAAUUAAUUUGUAUUUAUUGAUGUUUUAUAGUUAUGCUUUAAUUGGUGUAUAGGUAUCUUUUAAAAAAAAACAUGGUAUGUGUCAAUGUCAUUUUAAUUCUUGACCUACAUGUGUCACGUGCCCUAUGAAGUCCUGUGUGAUGUACAGUUGAGCCACCUAUUUUGCAGUGAGAGCUUCUGAAAUAUUAGAUUUGUGUACUAGAGUCACUGCAAGUUGCAUAAAGUGAUACUGAGCAAUGUUUUGACACUUGUAGCAGACUUCCAGUAGUUCUAAACUGAACCUGUUUCACUUGUGGAAAUUGGGAUCAUGCACACUGUUGAGUUCUGAGGAGAUAGUGCCACACCUUGGAGUAGCCAAGUUCUGCUGUGUGUCUGCAUGGUCCCUGAGAGAGCAGUGCUGUCCCCAUCCCCUCCCUCCCUCUUCAGGAAUCUCACUUCAGGAGUCAAGGCUGUGGCUCCUUCAGUUGAGGAAGCAGUGCCAUGUCCUCUCAAAGCUGAGCUUUGGCAUUAGCUCUGGGAGCAGUGAUGCACUGUCUGCAUUAAGUGUUUUCAUGGCCGUUUUUGGGAGCUGGGAGGUGGGCUUGAGGCCAUGCAGGUCCAGUUAAACCCACCAGGAAAGGCUCAGCAUUGCCCCUUGCAAGUCCCCUGAUCCAGAGUCCAGUAUAAAUGCUUGUGGCAGCAGGAAGGCCAGCUGGGGCAGGGUGUUGAGGGGGGGGGUAAAUGGGCUUCUGUGGCAGCACCAGAGUGGAGCCUGUGAAUUCACAGUGUUAGGAUUUGUUGAUUUAGGCCCUGUCUGGGAUUUAAACAUACCUAAUUACUAGAGUGUUUUUAGCCUAGGGAAUGCAAAACCAGUGGUGCACAUAUCCUCAGAGCACAACGUGCAGGGAAAGGUGAGGCCGAACUGGUAGCAGAACGAUCCUAUGUCUGAGAUUGGAGUGGGAAAAAUUACCUUAAGUUGAACCCGAAGCAAUUUUGUAUGUAUUAAACAUGUUUUUAAAGUUUACACUGUCACUUGUAUGUGCUUGGCUGGAUUAAGCUUUGUUGUGAUUGUGACAAACUGUUUGACCUCUGUCUGUUGCAUUGGUUUAGUUGUAAUAAAUGUCCAUUUUUACACCAUU